rnacentral:rRNA from 1 species
UACGUAGGGCGCGAGCGUUUGUCCGGAAUUAUUGGGCGUAAAGAGCUCGUAGGCGGUCUGUCGCGUCGGCUGUGAAAACUCGGGGCUCAACCCCGAGCCUGCAGUCGAUACGGGCAGACUAGAGUGCUGUAGGGGAGACUGGGAAUUCCUGGUGUAGCGGUGAAAUGCGCAGAUAUCAGGAGGAACACCGGUGGCGAAGGCGGGUCUCUGGGCAGUAACUGACGCUGGAGGAGCGAAAGCGUGGGGAGCGAACAGG